rnacentral:lncRNA from 1 species
GAUGGAGGGUAGGAGAGCCUUGAGCCUGCGAGAAGAGUCUCUUAGAAUAGAGAAGCUGAAGUUAAAGUUGUGGAAGAGAGUGGGGAUAACUGAGUGACAGAUAAUCAGGAGAAGAAAAGGAGAUCCAGACUCAUGACAGAGAGAUGACCUUUGCCAAGAGCACAGCCGUCUUUCACGGUCACAGAGAGGUAGGACAAAAUGAGUGGUGUUCAAGAAUUGGUUUGUAGCACAAUAUUUCAACUAUGUCCUUUAAAAAGUUUCUCCACAGACACUACCCAAAGCAGUGCUUCACUACAGUGGCAGACAGACCUGAAAAUUUUCAUCUGAAGCAGCAGAGUGAACUGCAGAGGCAGGUCACCAACCAGUGUGGAGGCUAAAAGCGGGCCUCUUUGGGGAUUCCAGGUGGAAGUGUUGGACAUCUGUAGUAUUCCUGGUCUCGAAUCAUCCUGAUAUUCUUCAUUUUGUUAUUCACAUUGGACUAGGAGAUAGAAUCUCACUAUGUUGACCAGGCUGGUCUUGAACUCUUGGCACCCAAGCGAUCCUUUUGCCUGGAAUCCCAAAGUGUCAGAUUUACUGAAGAAUAUUUCAUUGUAAUUACUUUUUAUACUUUAUAGGUCAAGAGCUCUGUUUUAAAUACAAAAUUUAUUGAAUAUACUUUUUCAAACAAAGUUUCAUGUUCUAAUCAUUGUCUGAUUUCAGCAUUAAAUGAAACACAGUAAAGAAA